rnacentral:misc_RNA from 1 species
UCCGGUUUGACACCGGCAGUCUCUCAUGAGUCCCCGACAUUACUCGCUGGCAACAUAAGAUAGGGGUUGCGCUCGUUGCGGGACUUAACCCAACACCUCACGGCACGAGCUGACGACAACCAUGCACCACCUGUGUACGGCCCCUAAGGACACCAUAUCUCUAUGGCUUUUCCGUACAUUUCAAGCCUUGGUAAGGUGGGGAUGACGUACUUGCUAGGUAA